rnacentral:misc_RNA from 1 species
ACAGAGACAAAGAAUGGAAGCGGCCUACAUGAAUCUACAGAACCAACUAAAGAACCUGCAAGGCGCCGAGCUUAAACUGGCCGAGUUACAAACCAAAUACAGUGGAAUGGAAAAACAAAACUUUGAGCUGAGUGAAAAGGUGAAGAAGUUGGAAAGAACAGAGAGGGAAUUUCAGAAGCUAGAACACAACAUUCAACUAUUACAGGCUCAAGUGCAAGAAAUGGACAUUGUAGAGCAAGAUCGAAACACCUUGAUGGAAAAAAUGAAGACCGUAGAAAACCAAAGAGAUGAUUUGUUGAGGAAAGGCCGGGUGGUGGAAUCCGAGAGGAACGACUUCCUACGGAGCAACAAAUUGAUGGAGAUGCAAAGAGAUGACUUGGAAAACAGAUGCGCUAUCUUACAAAAGACAAAUACCACCUUGAAUUCCAGGUUGGCUGAACUAGAACAGGACUUGAAAGUUGCUCAGACAAAGAUGCACGACAGCCAACAUGAACGAAACUUCCUUCAAGUGCAACUCGACAAGAUGGAAGCAGAGAGGAAUGAGAUGCAGAAGCGACUUGCUAUAACAACACAAGAACGAAACUCACUAGAGAACCAAGUGGCCGAAUUACAGGAGCUUAAUAGGGAUCACGUUAAACUUGAAGAUGGAUUCCAUUCUUUAAGAAUUAAGCUUGCGGAAUCCACGCGACAAAAAGAUGAUGCAGAGAUGCAAAUACCAACUCUAAAGGCCAAGAUAUCGUUGCUCAAAAGAGCGUGCAAAGAGAAGGGCGAACUAGUGGAUAAACUGAGCGAGGAAAUCCGAGAAUUACGUCAUUCCAUCGCAACAUCGGCUCUCGACGAUAUGUCUAAGAUCCGAAGCUACGGAUACUCGCCGGAGAACUUCGUAAAAUUGUCGGCUCAGAGAGAGCAAGAGCGAAAGAUAGCAAAACGAGAACCCGAGGACUUGGUGGAAGAAAGAUUACAAAGCAGGCUAGAAAAACAAUCUCCAAGUCGUUCACCCAAAACGUUUGAACCUUCACCUCCUGGGACGAAAAAGGCCAAGCGCUUUGUGGCGUUGUUUGAUUACGACCCUUACAAGUCGCCUGCCUGUGAGCACCCCGAACUAGAGCUCAAACUCAAGGAAGGUGACUUCCUUACAGUGUUCGGCGACAUGGACAUCAAUGGUUACUUUGAAGCGGACGCGAAUGGCGCACGAGGCCUGGUACCUAGUCUGUAUGUGGAGGAGGUAGAGGACGAUAAUGACUCGGAGCUUGCUCUCGAGGAGCAUUUAUCAAGGUCACGCAGAGACCCAUUGAAAGAUGUUCUUACUGUUUCGGACCCACUGAAAGAUGUUCCUUCGCACAUGGACAAUGAGCUUCAGUUGUACAGAGAUGACAAGUCUAGUGGCCAUUGUACGCCGUCAUCAGGCGCCUCUUCUGCAGGGUCUGAAGCACGUCAGUGCAUGGUGGCCCUACACGAUUACGAUCCUUUCCAUUCUGGGGCUUUUGGACGACCACCUCAAGAUCAGCUGUCACUCAAGAAAGGUGACAUUAUGACAGCCUAUGGAGACAUGGAUGUGAAUGGGUUUUAUCGCGUUGAUAUGAAUGGUCAAACAGGUUUUGUUCCUGGCCACUUGGUGGAGGAAGUUUCGUCAUCGUCCUUCCUGCAACCUACCAGCAGCCGAGCUCCAGAACAGAUUUUAGGAAUGCUGGACAACAUUCAAGCACGUGGACAACUGAGAGGUGAGAUGCUAGUGCCAGGUUUAUUUGCAGCAGCUUCGUCAACUCAUAUGUUCACUCCACCUGGUGUUAUUACUAAUGGCUACCCGACGCCGACUCAUGCGCUAGAAAAUGUUACCCCACCAAGUCACGUGCGCUUUCCCGGCCACCCCAGCUCGCCAGCAAGUCACAUUCAUCUUCCUGGCCAUCCCGGCGCACCAACAAAUCACGUGCGCCUUCCCAGAGACCUUAAUACACCAUCAAGUCACGUGCGCCUUCCCGGCGAUGUUAGAACGCCGUCAGGUCCCGUGCGUCCUACGGGCGGUCUAAACAGCUCUCUGCCUGAUGUGGGAUUAACAAGAUUCAAACCAUCACCGGAAGUGGCGAUGUUGGGUCCUUUAAAUAAUACACCGGUGAUACCGGUAAACUCGUCCCAGUCUGCGCCCUUGGAUUCACACAAACCAGUGAAGGCAUCUUUACGGCCCUCGGGUUCGAAACAGAUCGUUCCUGUUGUUUCAAACAAAUCACGUUCCAGGAAAGCUCGUCCCAGUGCCCCAAGUGGCUUUCGAAUUAUUCGGCCUGUAAACCACGAUGCCAUGUUGGUGGGUUGGACACUACCUGAAAUGGACGAGUUUGGAAGAAGCAACGGUCUUACUGUGAAAGGAUACAAGAUCUAUGCAAAUAAUGAUGUGAAACUGGAAGUUCGUAGCCCUUACAUGGCCAAGGCUUUGGUCGAAGAUCUUGAACUCCGUUUCCCUAUCAAAUUCAGUAUAAAGACUGUGGCUGAAGAUGGCGCCUCGUCUGAGACCGUGUCAGCUACGUUUAAUGACACAAUCAAAGGAACUUUAAUGGAUUCAUUUGGAGAAUCUUUCGAGGAUUCGGGAGAUGAGCAACGUUACAGAACGUUUGUGGCCCUUUACGACUACGAUCCGUUCAAAAGUUCACCAAAUCCCAAUCCAGCCAGCGAACUCGGCUUCAAAGAAGGAGACAUUCUAAGAAUUUCCGAUACUUCAAGAAAGGACGGGUUCUACGUCGGAAAGCUUAAGAACAAGAAAGGACUCAUUCCAUCCAACUUUGUAGAAGAAGUAGCUGUGGCUUCGCCGCGUAGAUUGGCUGCUGCUAAGAAGAGACAAGCAGCCCUUCCUAGUCCCACGCGGCCCUUCUCAGCGGGCAGUAGUAGUUCCAAUGGCGGCGGUGCUUUACCAGCACUCGCAACUACGAAUCCAACACAACUGAAAAAAAAAGAUGAUGGUUGCGCUGUACGAUUACAAUCCAGAGGUGCAAUCUCCGCAAGAUAACCCAGAUUCCGAGCUUCCAUUCAAGAAAGGACAAAUCCUUACUGUUGUUGGGGAAAUGCGUGCAGAUGGUUUCUAUCAUGCGGACGUGAAUGGUCAGUUGGGACUUGUUCCAGGAAGCUUUCUUGACGAAUAUGCAAACGGG